rnacentral:rRNA from 1 species
CUUGCUUCUCUUGAGAGCGGCGGACGGGUGAGUAAUGCCUAGGAAUCUGCCUGGUAGUGGGGGAUAACGUUCGGAAACGGACGCUAAUACCGCAUACGUCCUACGGGAGAAAGCAGGGGACCUUCGGGCCUUGCGCUAUCAGAUGAGCCUAGGUCGGAUUAGCUAGUUGGUGGGGUAAUGGCUCACCAAGGCGACGAUCCGUAACUGGUCUGAGAGGAUGAUCAGUCACACUGGAACUGAGACACGGUCCAGACUCCUACGGGAGGCAGCAGUGGGGAAUAUUGGACAAUGGGCGAAAGCCUGAUCCAGCCAUGCCGCGUGUGUGAAGAAGGUCUUCGGAUUGUAAAGCACUUUAAGUUGGGAGGAAGGGUUGUAGAUUAAUACUCUGCAAUUUUGACGUUACCGACAGAAUAAGCACCGGCUAACUCUGUGCCAGCAGCCGCGGUAAUACAGAGGGUGCAAGCGUUAAUCGGAAUUACUGGGCGUAAAGCGCGCGUAGGUGGUUUGUUAAGUUGGAUGUGAAAUCCCCGGGCUCAACCUGGGAACUGCAUUCAAAACUGACUGACUAGAGUAUGGUAGAGGGUGGUGGAAUUUCCUGUGUAGCGGUGAAAUGCGUAGAUAUAGGAAGGAACACCAGUGGCGAAGGCGACCACCUGGACUAAUACUGACACUGAGGUGCGAAAGCGUGGGGAGCAAACAGG